rnacentral:rRNA from 1 species
GUUUGCCUACGGGGGGAGCAGUCGAGAAUCAUUCACAAUGGGGGAAACCCUGAUGGUGCGACGCCGCGUGGGGAAAUGAAGGUCUUCGGAUUGUAAACCCCUGUCAUGUGGGAGCAAAUUAAAAAGAUAGUACCACAAGAGGAAGAGACGGCUAACUCUGUGCCAGCAGCCGCGGUAAUACAGAGGUCUCAAGCGUUGUUCGGAAUCACUGGGCGUAAAGCGUGCGUAGGCUGUUUCGUACGUCGUGUGUGUAAGGCGCGGGCUCAACCCGCGGCCGGUACAUGAUACUG